rnacentral:tRNA from 1 species
ACCUGGCUGGCUCACUUGGUAGAGCAUGUGACUCUCGAUCUCAGGGUUUUAAGUUCAAGCCCUUUGUUGGGUG